CCUCCUCCUGCUGGUGCAGAGCUACACCCACCUCAGGGACUAUAUAAGGGCGGUGCUUGCUCUGCAGGCAACUUCAGAUCCAGAGCCCCUCCCAGAAAGCAAACAACGGGGAGGCAGCUAGCACCACUAUUAUCCUUCCUUGCCCAUCUCUGUGGAAACAAGCUCUGAGAGGAGUCAGGAUUGGCCUCUGUCCUGUGUUGUAGCCUCACCAUGGAGCAGCUGAGCUCGGCCAACACCCGGUUCGCAGUGGACCUCUUCCGCACCCUGAAGGACAGCAACCCCUCUGGGAACAUCUUCAUCUCCC